rnacentral:rRNA from 1 species
CUUCCAUCUGGAAGAAUCUGGAGGACAGGUGCUGCAUGGCUGUCGUCAGCUCGUGUCGUGAGAUGUUGGGUUAAGUCCCGCAACGAGCGCAACCCUUGCCUUUAGUUGCCAGCAGUUCGGCUGGGCACUCUAAAGGGACUGCCGGUGUUAAACCGGAGGAAGGUGGGGAUGACGUCAAGUCCUCAUGGCCUUUAUGACCAGGGCUACACACGUACUACAAUGGCCGAUACAAAGGGCAGCGACACUGCGAGGUGAAGCCAAUCCCGUAAAAUCGGUCUCAGUCCGGAUUGGAGUCUGCAACUCGACUCCAUGAAGUUGGAAUCGCUAGUAAUCGUGGAUCAGCAUGCCACGGUGAAUACGUUCCCGGGCCUU